rnacentral:rRNA from 1 species
AGUGAACGCUGGCGGUAGGCCUAACACAUGCAAGUCGAACGGCAGCACAGUAAGAGCUUGCUCUUACGGGUGGCGAGUGGCGGACGGGUGAGGAAUACAUCGGAAUCUACUUUUUCGUGGGGGAUAACGUAGGGAAACUUACGCUAAUACCGCAUACGACCUACGGGUGAAAGCAGGGGAUCUUCGGACCUUGCGCGUUUGAAUGAGCCGAUGUCGGAUUAGCUAGUUGGCGGGGUAAAGGCCCACCAAGGCGACGAUCCGUAGCUGAUCUGAGAGGAUGAUCAGCCACACUGGAACUGAGACACGGUCCAGACUCCUACGGGAGGCAGCAGUGGGGAAUAUUGGACAAUGGGCGCAAGCCUGAUCCAGCCAUACCGCGUGGGUGAAGAAGGCCUUCGGGUUGUAAAGCCCUUUUGUUGGGAAAGAAAAGCAGCAGGUUAAUACCCCGCUGUUCUGACGGUACCCAAAGAAUAAGCACCGGCUAACUUCGUG